GCAAGUAGGUUUAGGGAGUGUGAGAUAAAUAGGUCAUGGAUGGAAGUAGAUUUAAAGGUGCUGCACACAGAGCGUGCAUUCCAGAGGGCAGCUUUAAAUGGGGAAUUACAUGGAAUGGGUAUUAGGUUGUUGUGGUUUCUGGUGUUUGUACCAGGUGGCUGAGUAGUGGAGGGACCAGGGUUUGGAGAGAUAUCACCAGCUGCCAGGAGUAGUAGGAUGGAAAGGAAGAGAAGGUGGGAGUAAGAUUUAUAAUUUGCCACAACUGGCUGUAUUUGUGGAAUAUGCAUUAAAUAAUGGAUUGCAUGAAUCUGCAUGUUGCAUUUAUAGAGUGUGUGUAUAUAUUUAACCCUUAGUGACUAGACAGUUUUUCCAUUUUCUUACCGUUAG